UACGGAGGGUGCGAGCGUUGUCCGGAAUCACUGGGCGUAAAGGGCGCGCAGGUGGCGCAGGAAGUCAACGGUGAAAGUUCGGGGCUCAACCCUGAAUCGGCCGUCGAUACUCCUGGGCUCGAGCACUGUAGAGGCAGAUGGAAUUCCGGGUGUAGCGGUGGAAUGCGUAGAGAUCCGGAAGAACACCGGUGGCGAAGGCGGUCUGC
rnacentral:rRNA from 1 species